AACGAACGCUGGCGGCAGGCCUAACACAUGCAAGUCGAACGCUCCGCAAGGAGAGUGGCAGACGGGUGAGUAACACGUGGGAAUCUUCCUAUCGGUGCGGAAUAGCUCAGGGAAACUUGAGGUAAUACCGCAUACGCCCUCAGGGGGAAAGAUUUAUCGCCGAUAGAUGAGCCCGCGUCUGAUUAGCUAGUUGGUGGGGUAAUGGCCCACCAAGGCGACGAUCAGUAGCUGGUCCGAGAGGAUGACCAGCCACACUGGGACUGAGACACGGCCCAAACUCCUACGGGAGGCAGCAGUGGGGAAUAUUGGACAAUGGGCGCAAGCCUGAUCCAGCCAUGCCGCGUGAGUGACGAAGGUCUUCGGAUUGUAAAGCUCUUUGGCCAGGGACGAUAAUGACGGUACCUGGAGAAUAAGCCCCGGCUAACUUCGUGCCAGCCGCCGCCGUAAUAC
rnacentral:rRNA from 1 species